rnacentral:rRNA from 1 species
AUUGAACGCUGGCGGCAGGCCUAACACAUGCAAGUCGAGCGGCAGCGGAAAGUAGCUUGCUACUUUGCCGGCGAGCGGCGGACGGGUGAGUAAUGUCUGGGAAACUGCCUGAUGGAGGGGGAUAACUACUGGAAACGGUAGCUAAUACCGCAUAACGUCGCAAGACCAAAGAGGGGGACCUUGGGGCCUCUUGCCAUCAGAUGUGCCCAGAUGGGAUUAGCUAGUAGGUGGGGUAACGGCUCACCUAGGCGACGAUCCCUAGCUGGUCUGAGAGGAUGACCAGCCACACUGGAACUGAGACACGGUCCAGACUCCUACGGGAGGCAGCAGUGGGGAAUAUUGCACAAUGGGCGCAAGCCUGAUGCAGCCAUGCCGCGUGUAUGAAGAAGGCCUUCGGGUUGUAAAGUACUUUCAGCGGGGAGGAGGGUGUUGAGGUUAAUAACCUCAGCAAUUGACGUUACCCGCAGAAGAAGCACCGGCUAACUCCGUGCCAGCCGCCGCCGUAAAAC